ACCGAGCAUGAGAUCACACUCAAGUUCACUUUGGUGCAAGAUGAACAACUGGAUACUCACAGCGUUGAUGCCUCUGUCUUUCACCUCACGGCUGCUUUCUGAUUCAUACAGCGCUGCGGAGAGAAAAGCUUCCUCUAUCUCACCCCAAACUGUUGACAGUCUUGGAGAAGAUGCGGACAAAGAACUCUCCGGGCUGGUUGGGCCGAUAUGUGGACGCCACCAGGACAUAGUGACCCGGUUCCAGGUGCACCUUCCUCCACACAGCCCUGCAGGUCAUCGACAGGGUCCACGGUACUCAACAAAGCCCCAUGGAUUCCUCAGCCUCAGAAGCAAAAUUUCAUCUGCCUCGUGCCUCACCUGAAAACACAAGAAAUCCUCAUCAAGGGUGAUCAUACGUUGUCAUCAUUUGCAAUCAGAUGAGACUUGGCUGUCAGUUUCUUCCACCACUUGACACUAGAUGGUAGCACACUCCAGCUACACUUGCCAAUGAAGCUUCCUGACCGAUCAGAUCGUGCCAACGAUAAAGCUUGUCCUCUUGGAGUUCGCCUCAGCGUGUCAUCCUUUUCCAUAACCCACUUUGCACCGCUCCUUCAUCUUCGACCCACAGCACGUUAAUGGCGCAGGUGAUGGACAUUGUUAACCUGCCCCACGGCAGAUCUGGCUUGGGACCAUCCUAGUUUGCACUGUUUGCGGCCCUCAUUUUUUAUUUUGGUGUAAGUGGAAUGCUUUUAUUGUGACCUUUUUUUGUGACUAUUGUGACAUGAAAAUUAAAAAAAAAACCCUUUUCUUGAAGUAAAUCUAAAUAUGCCAUAGUUAUCCUUGUGCGCAUUAACAGGCUACUUCCUGGUUUAUUCAUGGAGGAUGACCAAAGAUGAUGGAACCACAGGAUGUUGUGA